rnacentral:rRNA from 1 species
UACGUAGGGGGCAAGCGUUGUCCGGAAUCAUUGGGCGUAAAGAGCGUGUAGGCGGCCCGGUAAGUCCGCUGUGAAAGUCCAGGGCUCAACCCUGGGAUGCCGGUGGAUACUGUCGGGCUCGAGUCCGGAAGAGGAGUGUGGAAUUCCUGGUGUAGCGGUGAAAUGCGUAGAUAUUGGGAGGAACACCAGUGGCGAAGGCGGCUCACUGGACCGGUACUGACGCUGAGGCGCGAAAGCGUGGGGAGCAAACGGG